CACCGCGGUCAGACGAGACGCCCGAGCGGAUGGCCACCGGCGUAAAGAGUGGUUAGGGAAACCCUCAACUAAAGCUGAACGCCCCCAAAGCUGUGAUACGCAUUCGAUGGCCUGAAACCCCACCGCGAAAGUGACUUUAACCGACCCGAACCCACGAUAGCCAGGACA
rnacentral:rRNA from 1 species